rnacentral:tRNA from 1 species
GGGGCCGUGGUGAAGCGGGAUCACACCAGACUGGCAGUCUGGUAUCGCGGGUUCGAUUCCCGCCGGCUCCA